rnacentral:misc_RNA from 1 species
GAUGAAGAACGUAGCGAAAUGCGAUACGUAAUGUGAAUUGCAGAAUUCAGUGAAUCAUCGAGUCUUUGAACGCACAUUGCGCCCCCUGGUAUUCCGGGGGGCAUGCCUGUCCGAGCGUCAUUGCUGCCCUCAAGCACGGCUUGUGUGUUGGGCCUCCGUCCUCCUCCCGGGGGACGGGCCCGAAAGGCAGCGGCGGCACCGCGUCCGGUCCUCGAGCGUAUGGGGCUUCGUCACCCGCUCUUGUAGGCCCGGCCGGCGCUUGCCGACACAUCAAUCUUUUGUCCAGGUUGACCUCGGAUCAGGUAGGGAUACCCGCUGAACUUAAGCAUAUCAAUAAGCGGAGGA